GAGGUCUUAGCUUAAUUAAAGCAUCUGAGUUGCAAUUAGAAAAUGCGGAAUAAAGUUCUGCAGGUCUUA
rnacentral:tRNA from 1 species